UACGGAGGGAGCUAGCGUUGUUCGGAAUUACUGGGCGUAAAGCGCACGUAGGCGGCUUUGUAAGUUAGAGGUGAAAGCCCGGGGCUCAACUCCGGAACUGCCUUUAAGACUGCAUCGCUUGAAUCCAGGAGAGGUGAGUGGAAUUCCGAGUGUAGAGGUGAAAUUCGUAGAUAUUCGGAAGAACACCAGUGGCGAAGGCGGCUCACUGGACUGGUAUUGACGCUGAGGUGCGAAAGCGUGGGGAGAAAACAGG
rnacentral:rRNA from 1 species